rnacentral:lncRNA from 1 species
GGGGUAUUUGGGUUUUUUCUUUCUCAUUUCCUUUCAAUAUUAUGUUAUUGUAUUAUAUUUCUGAAUGAUUAUAUUGAAUUAUUCUUGUUUUAUUGUCAUCACUUGUCUUCUGAAAACCUUUUUCCCUUUCAAAAAGAAUUUGAAUAUUCUGAACCAAGUUUAACCAAUUAAUCACCCUUUGGGCAUUAUGAAUAUCAUUAUCAAUACACUACUUUAAACUUCAUUUCUCUAAAUAAAAUACUGUAAAACUUCAUACAUAUGAAUUACAAUGGUACAUGUAAUGGGAUAUUGCAUUUUCGUUAAGAUAGUGUGUGACUAACCCCUCCAACUAGUCUUACUUUAUUUACCAAUUAGUUAAUUAUAACUCAUUCUAGUCUAACCGCAGUAACUGACAAGUUAAUAUUAAUUCCUUCUACUAUUCUUAUUGCAGUAAAACAAGAUAAUUUUAACUCCUUCUACUAGUCUUACUGUAGAAAAUAAAGCUUUUAUAUUAACCCCUUCUACUAGUCUUUGAUUUAGUAAGUAGCAAGUUAAUAUUAACUCCUUCUAGUCUUACUGUAGUAACUGACAAGUUAAUAUUAACCCCUUCUACUAGUCUUACUGUAGUAAAACAAGAUAAUUUUAACUCCUUCUACUUGUCUUGCUGUAGAAACUAAAGCGUUAAUAUUAACCCCUUCUACAGGUCCCUACUGUAGUUACCAUUUAGGUAAUAUUAACUACUCCCAGUAGUCUUACCUUAGUAGGAAGUUAAUAGUAAACCCUCACACUAGUUCUACCGUAGUAACAAACAAGGUAAUAUAAACAGUACACAAAUACUGAACUCUAAGGAAAGUCUCUAAUCAAAUGGUAAAAUCAAAAGGUCAAACACAUGAAUUGAAUGGACAACAACUGUCAUAUUCCUGACUUGGUGCAGGCAUUCCCACUAUUCUCACUUCAAUAGGAAUGAAAUAUUAAACCCUCCUACUAGUGUUACUGUAGUUACUAAUAAAGUUGACAUUUGGUUUAAAAGAACUGAGCUGGGAAUUAGUUCCACUAGUAAUCUCCUUUUAAAACACGAUGGAUGAUUAUAUAUAUACUAAAGUAAAGAUAAAAAAGAAGAUGUGGUAUGAUUGCCAAUGAGACAACUGUCCAUAAGAGACCAAAAUGGCACAGACAUUAACAACUAUAGGUCACCGUACAGCCUACAACAAUGAGCAAAGCCCAUACCGCACAGUCAGCUAUAAAAGGCCCAGACAUGACAAUGUAAAACAAUUCAAAUGAGAAGACUAACAGCCUUAUUGUAUAAAAAAUGUACGAAAAACAAAUCUGUAACACAUAAACAAACGCAACCACUGAAUUACAGGCUC